CAGAAAAUAGUUUAAAUAAAAUAAUAGUUUUGGGUAUUAUAGAUAGUUUUUCUUUUUCUGA
rnacentral:tRNA from 1 species